UGGUUCUGUCUAUCAUCUCUUGGA
rnacentral:siRNA from 1 species